GGAAUUGUGGCUCAGUGGUGGAGCGCACGCCAAGCAUGUGAGAGGUCUUGGGUUCAAUCCUCAGCACCA
rnacentral:tRNA from 1 species